AGACAGAGGUGGCAAGCGUUGUUCGGAUUUACUGGGCUUAAAGGGCGUGUAGGCGUCCUGGUAAGUCAGAUGUGGAAGCCUUGGGCUCAACCCAAGAAUUGCAUUUGAUACUGCCGGGAUUGAGUCGUGCAUGGGAGGGCGGAAUUCCUGGUGUAGCGGUGAAAUGCGUAGAUAUCAGGAGGAAGGCCGGUGGCGAAGGUGGCCCUCUGGGCAAUGACUGACGCUGAGGCGCGAAAGCGUGGGGAGCAAACAGGAUUAGAAACCCUUGUAGUCC
rnacentral:rRNA from 1 species